AAUACUCCGGUAAGUGAGGCUAUUACGGGGAUACGGAUUGCUGCCGUGCAGCGAUGGAGACAGCGCUGCAUCGGUCAACAGGCUUUAUCGAAACCAAGGUGAAGCAUAAUGCAGUUACAUGGCACUAAUGAAGCGCCGCGCCCCGCAAAGCUAAAGCCUGAACGGUUG
rnacentral:sRNA from 1 species